UAUACCAUUUCCACCAUCCUGUUCAAAUGAAUUCUCUCGUUUAGCUAGAAGCAAUGGAUGCUGUAUGCCUUCAAUAUCAACAAACAACUGAUCGUAUAUGUCACCUAAAUAGCCAGCUGAGCACGUUUCUGAUGUAAUAAUUGGGCACACCCCAUUCAUCCACUGUGAAUACCCAGCUCUAGCAAAAGCAAGAUCAAUUGCCAAAAUACAAUCCAACAAAUAUUUGAUUCCCCUUUCUGAUUCCGCUAUCUCCGCAGUAAGCAUGCUCAAAAUGGCCAUUUCCUCUUCUUUCUCAGAGUUAGAAAGCGUGACUUCCAAGUUAUUCA
rnacentral:lncRNA from 1 species